rnacentral:ncRNA from 1 species
AAAUGAUUUUAAAUUUUUAAAUGAUUUUAAAUUUUUAAAUGUAAUAGUUAUUAUUAAAAAUUAAUUUUAAAUGAUUUUAAAUUUAGUAAUAUUUUAAAAUUACUAAUUAAAAUUGUGCCAGCAAUUGCGGUUAAACAAUUAGUAAAAAUAAAUAUUUAUUUAAUUAAAAUUAAUAAAAUUAUUAUUUAAAUUUAAAAUUUUAAAGUGAAAUAAUUAAAUUUUAAAUUUAAAAUUUAAUUAAUUUUAAAAAUUUAAAUAAAUUUAAAAAAAUUUUUAGUAAACUAGGAUUAGAUACCCUAUUAUUGAAUUAAUAAAUUUAAAUUAAAUUAGUAAGUAUUUAUAUUUGAAAGUUAAAGAAUAUGACGGUAUUUAAAUCAAUUUAGAGGAAUUUGUAUUUUAAUUGAUAAUCCACAAUUUAUUAGACUUAUUUUUUACUUAUAUAUCGUUGUUAUAAAAAUAUUUUUUUAUAAUUUAAAAUAUUUUAAAAUUUAAAAUUUAAAUUUAUAUCAAAUCAAGAUAUAGUUAUAGAUAAGAAAAUUUAUGAAUUACAAUAAAUAUAAAAAAUUUUUAAUUAUAUUUAAUGAAAAAGUUAUAAUUUAAUUGGAUUUAAUAGUAAUUUGAAAUAAAUUUUUUUAAUGAUUAAUGUUUUUAAAUAUGUACAUAUUGCCCGUCGCUCUUAUUAAAUUUAUGAAUUUAAAUUAUUUAAUAUAAAUUAAUUAAGAUAAGUCGUAACAUAGUAGAAGUAUUGGAAAAUGUUUCUAGAAAUAU